AGGGUGUAAACGCUGCAGACUUGGUGUUGGAGGCCCUUUGGGGGCAUUCAGUGCCGGAGAGAAGUUGUUAAGUCUGCUACUUGGGGAGUACGUCCGCAAGGAUGAAACUUAAAGGAAUUGGCGGGGGAGCGCCGCAACGGGAGGAGCGUGCGGUUUAAUUGGAUUCAACACCGUAAACUCACCAGGGAAGACUGUUACAUGAAGGCCGAGAUGAAGACUCUGCUAGAUUUUCAGAGAGGUGGUGCAUGGCGUCAGUGACU
rnacentral:rRNA from 1 species